rnacentral:lncRNA from 1 species
AUUGCAAGAGCCAGGCACUUGAGGGAAGAAAAUAACAUAUUUUUCCAAAUUCCAAAAGCUUUUCUUUAAAUAUUCAGUACUACAGCUUGGAGGACUGAGUAUAAUUUUUUCCUAUAAAUUAAAAAGUUAGAAGAAUGUAGGAUACGACAAAUUCAAUUUCCUACCACACAGGAAGGCGAUCUCAAACUUUCUCAACGAGGACGUGGAGUUUGUGGGGAGAGGAGAGAGAGAGCAAGAUAAAGCAAAGGAGCCCGGGAGAAGCUUUCUGCAUUCCAGGUGUUAUUCUAGCCAUGGAGAUGAAGUUGGAAUAAAACAAACAAAAAAUCCUUGCUGUCAUGGAGCUUACAUACUAAUGGAGGGGAGCAGACAAUUAACCAAAUGAAUAAGUAAGGCCAAGCAAGCAGCAGACGUGGUCCUGCCUUCACGGAGAGCUUGGGAUCUAGGCAGCUGCAGGCAGAUGGUGCAUGGCAGGAGAGGUGAGUGAGGCAUGCCUGGACACACUCACACUCAAGAGGAUGUAUCUCACCCUUGAUUCGGCCUUGCAACCACAGACAGUUAUUGGCCACUAAUUCACUGCAAGACAACAAGGAAGGCCAACAUGGAAAACAGAGAAAGAUAUGGAAGCCUGGGUCCUGCCUUCAAGGUGCUUAUGAUACAUGAGAGAUGAGACAGAGAUGCAGGGGAAACAUCACAAUCAAAAUAUAGUAGAGGAGGAGGAUCCAAGAUAGCACUGUGAGUAGUCCUCUUUGUCUCUCUCCCAUCGAGUCUACAAUUAUUUGGACAUUCAUCGCUUAACUAAGGAUAUCCAUAUAGCAUCUCAGGACGUCUGAGAGACCCAUGCGGCUAUUCAUCGGAAGGCGGAUGGACUUCCCUCUGGGAGGAGGUGGAGAUAGGUGAAAACUCUCCGACCCCGACCGAACAGCCUAGUACCUGCAAGCAGCUUUCUACCAACGGACGCCCCCAGAACAUCAACACAC